AUUGGAUUGAGAACAACGUACAAACCUUAUCGAUAAACAAUUGGAGGGCAAGUCUGGUGCCAGCAGCCGCGGUAAUUCCAGCUCCAAUAGCGUAUAUUAACGUUGUUGCAGUUAAAAAGCUCGUAGUUGAAAUGAAGGGUAGUUGUGUAAUGAAUACAUUCGUGUAUUUUGUUAUUCUACUACCCUCCUUCUAAAUUCGAUAUAUGAGUAUUAAUUUACUUGUAUAUGGUUUUAGACSUUUACUGUGAGAAAAUUAGAGUGUUCAAAGCAGGCAUUUGCUUGAAUAUAUUAGCAUGGAAUAAUCAUGUAUGAUUUUCAUGAUGUAUUUGAUUGGUUUGGUUCAUGAGAAUAAGAUUAAAAGGGACAGUUGGGGGUAUUCAUAUUCAAUAGUCAGAGGUGAAAUUCUCGGAUUUAUGGAAGAUGAACAAGUGCGAAAGCAUUUACCAAGGAUGUUUUCAUUAAUCAAGAACGAAAGUUAGGGGAUCGAAGAGGAUUAGAUACCCUCGU
rnacentral:rRNA from 1 species